ACCCUCACGCUCACUUACUCAUGAAGACAUCGUGGCUCUGAAUCAACAGGCACUGCAGGACUGAAAAUCUGCUCAACACCAUAAGAAGAGAGGAGAUCAUCCACACUUAGGCUAACACUCCUUGAGAGGACCCUCACGCUCACUUACUCAUGAAGACAUCGUGGCUCUGAAUCAACAGGCACUGCAGGACUGAAAAUCUGCUCAACACCACAAGAAGAGAGGAGAUCAUCCACACUUAGGCUAACACUCCUUGAGAGGACCCUCACGCUCACUUACUCAUGAAGACAUCGUGG